ensembl:lncRNA
ACAGCCUAUUUAUGGUGCUUAUUAGUUUGACAUUUAAAAAAAAAAUGUAUUUUUAAAACCUGUGCCUCGUUUGAUGGUCGACCCUGUUCUGUGAACUGAACCCUCGUUUGAUGGUCGACCCUGUUCUGUGAACUGAACCCUCGUUUGAUAGUCGACCCUGUUCUGUGAACUGAACCCUCGUUUUAAUAUGGUGAAAAUAUUCCUUUUUAAAUAGUUUUUUUCUAAAAGAAACAUUGACCAUCUAAUAAAUGAUCGUCUGAAAGCAGGUGAGCUGAUUCUAUUCGUUUUUUGUUCAUCUUUCUGGUGUUUUGUGGUGGAAAACGGAUCUGGUCGAACAUAACACGCUAACACUUUUACCCAGAUAGACAGGCUAGAGAUUUUUCUACAAUACCAUUAUUUGUUUGAAGCUUUGCAUUCAAUGGCCCCUCCCUGUUGCACAUCACAAGCUUCCACUGCCUCAAGGGGAUUCAUGACUAAUUUAGCUUCCACUGCCUCUGUCACAAGGGGAUUCAUGACUAAUUAAGCUUCCACUGCCUCAAGGGGAUUCAUGACUGAUUUAGCUUCCACUGCCCCUGUCACAAGGGGAUUCAUGACUAAUUAAGCUUCCACUGCCUCAAGGGGAUUCAUGACUGAUUUAGCUUCCACUGCCUCUGUCACAAGGGGAUUCAUGGCUGAUUUAGCUUCCACUGCCCCUGUCACAAGGGGAUUCAUGACUGAUUAAGCUUCCACUGCCUCAAGGGGAUUCAUGACUGGUUAAGCUUCCACUGCCCCUGUAAGAUGAAAUCAGCAACCCUGUUUUUUAUUUUUACACUUCUCAAAAAGGCACCCAAUUGGCGGAACGACCCAAUAUCAAACAGGUGGACAGUUGGUUGUGUGUAUGCAUCCCAAAUGGCAUUAUUCCCUGGUCUAAAGUAGUGCACUAUAUAGGCAAUAGGGUGCCAUAGGGUUCUGGUCUAAAGUAGUGCACUAUAUAGGGAAUAGGGUGCCAUAAGGAUCUGGUCUAAAGUAGUGCACUAUAUAGAGAAUAGGGCUGUGGUCUAAAGUAGUGCACUAUAUAGGGAAUAGGGCUCUGGUCUAAAGUAGUGCACUAUAUAGGGAAUAGGGUGCCAUAGGGCUCUGGUCUAAAGUAGUGCACUAUGUAGGGAAUAGGGCUCUGGUCUAAAGUAGUGCACGAUAUAGGGAAUAGGGCUGUGGUCUAAAGUAGUGUACUAUAUAGGGAAUAGGGCUGUGGUCUAAAGUAGUGCACUAUAUAGGGAAUAGGGCUGUGGUCUAAAGUAGUGCACUAUGUAGGGAAUAGGGCUGUGGUCUAAAGUAGUGCACUAUGUAGGGAAUAGGGCUCUGGUCUAAAGUAGUGCACUAUAUAGGGAAUAGGGCUGUGGUCUAAAGUAGUGUACUAUAUAGGGAAUAGGGCUGUGGUCUAAAGUAGUGCACUAUAUAGGGAAUAGGGCUGUGGUCUAAAGUAGUGCACUAUGUAGGGAAUAGGGCUGUGGUCUAAAAUAGUGCACU